rnacentral:rRNA from 1 species
UACGUAGGGUGCAGGCGUUGUCCGGAAUUAUUGGGCGUAAAGAGCUCGUAGGCGGUUUGUUGCGUCGGCUGUGAAAUCCCGAGGCUCAACCUCGGGUCUGCAGUCGAUACGAGCAAACUAGAGUGUUGCAGGGGAGACUGGAAUUCCUGGUGUAGCGGUGAAAUGCGCAGAUAUCAGGAGGAACACCGGUGGCGAAGGCGGGUCUCUGGGCAACAACUGACGCUGAGGAGCGAAAGCGUGGGGAGCGAACAGG